UGUGAGUGUGUGUGUGGUGUGUGUGUGUGUGUGGGGUGUGUGUGUUGUGUGUGUGUGGUGUGUGUGUGUGGUUUGACUGGUUUGUCAAGGCAGUGUCGUUACCCCGUGUGGCUGUUGCAUCGAAAGGGGAAGACUCCGAUGCGUACUGGUCAACAUCGCCACCGAGGGAGACAAAGGCGGCCGGGCGUGGUGCUGACCCAAGGCCACGACCCUCGUGUGUGCCACGGUGCCGGUGGCUGCACUUGCCCCUACAGCGGCGUCGCUGAAGGCUACACGGGGGACAUUUGGCUUUGGCUGCUGAAGAGAAGCCGUCUCAAGCUGGAACGCCUCCUGGAAACCAAUAUCGCAGCAGCAGUGACAUCAGCAGCUACAACAACAUCAUCAUCAGCAGCAAUUAUCAUAAGUACAUCAUCAUCAUCAGCAGCAGCAGCAGCGGCAACAUCAGCACCACCGACAUCUCAUCAGAAGCAACUCCAUCAUCAGCAACUUUCAUCAGCAGUAGCAUCAGCAGCACCAGCACCACCACCAUCAUCAGCAAUAACAACUUUUCAAUUUUGUCAUCAACAGCAGUGGUGUCAUCAGCAAGUCCAUCAGCAUCAGCAGCACCACCAUCAUC